CUGGAUGCAAAUGAUCUAAAAUAUUUGGUAUAAAAAGACAUACAGAUAUCCAAAAUCAAAUAAAUCAUUAUUUUGAAUGCACUCAAAAAAUUUUCUACCAACAAAGAAUUCCGAAUACAUUCAAAUUUCAGAAUUUGAACAUGAGACAUUCAUAAAGCCUAAACGUAAUAUUGUGUAAAAAUUGAAAUGAACAUUGUUUCGUACAAUUUUCUACAAUUCCUAUGUGAAAAGCACAUGACUGUCAGACUGUGUGAAUUGAUAUGAAAAGGCUUCACAUUAAGUAAUUUCAGAAUUUCACAACAUACAACCUGACUUCUUUUACUAUAACUGCUGCACUAGGGCAAAAUCUGUUUGUGAUCACAAUAAAAUCGGAGGAAUUGCAUAAAAUAUAUUGAGAAUAAUACUGUAAUAGUUUGGUCUGGAAUUCAUUUUAUUUCUGGUGGGAGAACAAUUAAAAUAUAGAAAAGGGUGGCAACUAAAAACCUCCAGCCUGCUUAACAUAAAGAUAACAUAAGAAUGAUCUGAUCAGCGACGUUUCUGAAUUUGAAUAAAGUUCAAAGAAAAGUUAUAUUACCGGUACAUAGGUUCGACAAAAUUAUUAUUUUCAAGUUUCUAUAACUCCAUUUGCGACGCAAUCUAAACUUAACGCCUACAGUCAGACAGUGACGAAUUUCGAAAUCAAGAUCUAAAUUUGGUGCUGAUCUGAGAUGACCCAACCUGAAAAAUCGUUUAUGACGACACACCUGAACAGAUUUUCAGUUAUAGACUUCAUUUGAGUAUGUAAUUCCGAAAAAACGAAGUAUAUUUUGGCCAAAAGUGACAAAAUAGGGAUCAAAAAGCCGCCUAAAUUCGCCGCGAACUUGAUCGGAUCAAAACCCCUUUUUUUCGCAGUGUGUCAGUGCCCUCUUGUGACUGGGUCAUAAAUUUAGUAUCGUAUCGAAAAGACAGGAGAGUGGAUGUUGUUUGGCUCUAAAUUUGUAGACAUGACAUAAAUUAUGAGAAUAUUCCGAAAUUAUUUAUUAUAGAAUUCAAUUGUUCGUGUUCAGAAUAAAUUGCAAGAAUUGGGUAGUAUUUAACCCAAAUCAUCCACAAGAGGGCAAUAAAAUACCAAAACUUCAUUAUUUCUUCGAAAGCGAUUGUUUCGGUGUUGAAGUUACAACUUAUGCGGCUCUCUCGCAUUCGUUCGCGAGGACAUUCGUAUUUGUGGGUUUUGUCUAUUUGAUAAAUGCUCGUUCUGAUUGGUUUGCUAUCGCUGGCUGUUUUUAACACAAUUUUUGAAUGCUUGGGUUUGCUCUGCAUGUCCUAUGGCUUCUUCCACCAUCAAGUCCAUGCAUCCUAAAUCAAAUAACAACUAAUCCAACCGUUCGCCAUAUGGUUAAGUUGAAACAUUCAACAGUACAAAUUUUAAAACAGUGACAUAUCCGUUCUUGACCAUGAGAUUGAAAGCUCUGAUGAGCUUCUUGUGUCACUCUUAAACAAAGUUAUAUUAAAGUUGAGAUUUAUGUUUGUGUGUAUACUGUGGUUUCGAAAAACUGUGUAUACAGUUUAAAUAACUAUUAUAAUAUGUACUAGCUGAUACACAUAGCUAUACAGUAUUUUAUAUUCAUCUCAUUUUCUGCAAUUGCGAAAAUCAAUUGUGACCAAAUUUUACCUACCGUUAAAAAUGUAUGUUUAGGCAAUUUUUACUUUCAGUAUGGACAUUUCAAAUGACCCAGUUCUAUUCUUAUUCGAUCGCAUAGUUCCAGUACCAAAAUUCGGUAGCUUCAUUUCCAAACAAAUAGUAAAAUGCAUGAUAAAGCCAGGGAGGGAAGCGUUAGUGAUGUAUCAUUUCUAAAGUUAAUUGCGAGCCGACACAAGUUAGAGCUAAUGUGUCACAAGUAUAAAUCGCUCAACAUUAGCUCAGCUUAAGAUUUUCAAUUACGGUAGAUUGAACAAACAAGGCAGUUCUAAUUCCUAACGCAGUUGUAGUUUCCACAAACACAGUCCUAAGUUGUAUGCCAGGGGUCAUUUUGAUCUGGUAUCAAAUUGGGUAUUCACGAUUGAAUAUGAACUGCUCGAAAUCUUAAAACAUUCUCUCAUUGCGCACUUGACAAACAUUUUUAAAUUUGAAAACUUCUGACAUCUUUUUGACACUCUGACCACAGCUUGAACCUAAAUCUUCAAGCAUAUCAGCUAAUCUUGUACAAUUUUCUGUAAUAGUAAGAGUCCAAUCCCUGUACCACAUUUCAAUAAUUUCACAAUGCCAGAAUCUCCAAAAAAAAAUUUGUGUUAACUACAGAAAAUGUUUAAAACUCAAAUGCUCAUUUUGGAGAUAGAUAUUUGUAAAAUAAACACAUAAUACUGAAUACUAAAAUACACAAAAUAAAUUUUUAAAAUAUAGAGAUAAAUUUCAGUCUAGGAUAUUUCAAAAAAAUAUAUAUACUAAAUACAGUUAAAUAAAAUGAAGGAUUGCAAAUAUUAUAUAUCACGUCAAAAUAUAUUAUGCAGUCAAUAAGUGAAUAAAUCAAGAUUUGCCUUACAAAUUUAAAUCAAAUGAAGAAAAUUGAAAGAGCUUUUUCGCAAGAAAUAAAUAUCUUUUUGAAGCCAAAACCUUACAGAGUUAUUGUUUUAUUAAGCGCAUCACAAUUAUUUGACAAAGGCUCUUUUUAACAGCAAUUGCAGAUAAAGCUUACACCAUUUUUCCUAUCUCAAUAUAGGAUGAAGUUCAGUUUGAAAAAGUAACUUGAUUCAUUGGUCACACAGAUUUUGAUAUACAUUGAAAAGCUGCAACAGACAAUUUAAAUGUUUCUCUGAGUGGUUGCAAAGCAAAAACAUUUUACAAAUUAUUUCUUAACAUUUUAGUAUUCCAAAGUAAAUUUUGCAAAAUUUCAUGAGUUAUCCUUUUGCUCUUUCAUUGAAAAAAAA